rnacentral:tRNA from 1 species
ACUUAAAUAGUUUAAAAAAAAUGUAAACUUGUGGCGUUUAAGAUAUAGAGUUCCUAUUUUGAGUA